GAUGAACGCUGGCGGCGUGCUUAACACAUGCAAGUCGAACGGGAAAUACUUCAUUGAGACUUCGGUGGAUUUGAUUUAUUUCUAGUGGCGGACGGGUGAGUAACGCGUGGGUAACCUGCCUUAUACAGGGGGAUAACAGUCAGAAAUGGCUGCUAAUACCGCAUAAGCGCACAGAGCUGCAUGGCUCAGUGUGAAAAACUCCGGUGGUAUAAGAUGGACCCGCGUUGGAUUAGCUGGUUGGUGGGGUAACGGCCCACCAAGGCGACGAUCCAUAGCCGGCCUGAGAGGGUGAACGGCCACAUUGGGACUGAGACACGGCCCAGACUCCUACGGGAGGCAGCAGUGGGGAAUAUUGCACAAUGGGGGAAACCCUGAUGCAGCGACGCCGCGUGAAGGAAGAAGUAUCUCGGUAUGUAAACUUCUAUCAGCAGGGAAGAUAGUGACGGUAC
rnacentral:rRNA from 1 species